rnacentral:lncRNA from 1 species
CAGAAUCUCUCCAAGAUGAAGAUUACCAGGCUAUUCUCACAGAUUUAAAUUAUCAGGUUUCAUAGUAAAAGGGAAUGACUCAAAGCUGUUAUGUAAAUUCAGAGACAUAAUUCAGUGUUUCCUUAAACUGCUCAGUGAGCUAACUCCAAUGUUUAUGUACAAAAUCCUUUUUUAGUGAAGGUACUAUAGUGUAAUGAUUUAAAGUAUGGAUGCCUAGAUUUGCAUUUUAUCUCUCUCUAUAUGAACAUAUGCAUCACUGGCCAGGUCACUUAACUUCUCUGCACCAAAAGAUAAGGUACAAUUAUUUCUGCAUUUAGGGGAACAAUGGUGAUUGAUAUUUUCUUCCUUGUGUUUUUCAUUUCUCAGUUUUCUAGGAUUCCAACAAUGACUACAUCUUUAAAAAGAAAGAAACUCUAUUGAUAAGCCAUCAAGUAAAAAGGAAGCUUUCCACUAGGUACCACCUUUGGUGACACACUUUACAAAGUUCAGUGUCAGUUACAAUCAAUAUAAUUUGCACACUUUAAUGAGUUAAAGAAUAAACCAGCCACUCAAUUUUUGAAAAUAAUUUCAGGGGGCAAGUACAUAUUAGAGUUGGAAUUCUUGAUCAACUGACAAAAAGUAUCACAUAAAAAUUCACCCACCUUGUCAUUAUUAAACACUUUUUGGUUUGCAUCAUUAGGAUGGUAAGUUCAAGCCUCCAGAUAUGACUUUAAUACAUUCAAAACCACUUUUUUCUGACAUACUGAUAAAGUCCAGCUGCAAACUCAGCACUUGUUAUUCACAUGGUCUACAGAUUCUUUCCUUCUUCCAUAAUAAUAAACCCACAUAAAGUCAUACUCAUGACCACAUUAAAGUUAAUUUCCUCCAAAUUACACAUCAUAUUCAUAAGAUGUGACUUUGCAUUUAGACAGUGCUUAUCUUUUAAGAUGCUCAAAGCACUGCCUGUGUGUUUUAUUUAUGCGACUACAUCACUGGGGUAAAGAGAGAUAGAUUAUUUUAUUUUCAAGGUAUCCAUUUUCUGAUUUGCUCUAAAACUUUAGAGUUCUUAAGAUCAUAUUCAGUCAAAUUACUAUUCCAUUGAGCUCAUUAUUCAGUCUUUCACCAGAAAACAAGAGAUAUUUUAUGAAUAGCCGUGCAUUUUUUCAUUCUAUUGCUAGGUAGGUGCUGAAAAAGCUGUAAAAAUAAAGCUAAACCAGCUCUGAAUAUAUGGCUUUCAUAACCCAGUUGAGAAGAGAGAUCUGAAGACCACCUCAUUGCAUCACAGGCGAUGCAUCCAAGUUUGGGGCAGAUAAGGUGGGAGGGGGGAGGAAGGAACACGUGUUCAGGGCCGUGUUACUAAAGGGAGUUUGUGAUGAAUUUUAGGAAAGGAGUAGGGUAUUUUUGCAGGUGGUUAAAAGAGAAAGCAAUGAAACUCCAUAUUCUGAGGAGUGAAAGAGCAGCAACCUCAACACACAGGGACAGGAGUGGAGAAGGGAGAAAACUGAGUGACAAGUACUCCCUUGAUGCCAAAAGUGCUCUUGUUUUUAAUUAGUUCAUACAAAUUUAAUUCCGCAUACCAUUUGGGCAACCACCAGAGUUUUCAAUUGAGAAAACAGAAAUCACAAGUUGGUUCAAAUUAUAAGAGCAAAUUUGGCAAGAUGGCAUGGCUGCUCUCCUGCUGUCUCCCUGACUCUAGAGAGAACCAGUGGAUUUCUGGUUCUCUUGUCACAGCCCCUUGCCCCCUCCCCUGGCAACAUAACCUACUAUAUCUAUGUGAAGUCUGGGGAAAAUGUGUUACUGUUGCCAUUUGACUGUGCAUAUUGCAUUGUGCUAUCUCCACAUCUUAAUGGAGAUAUUUUUGUGCCACUUGAUGAUUAAACAUAAUUUUAAUUACUGUCACUGUAUUUACAUCUGCAGUCAGUAUGUCUAAUGUUGAAAAGUAGAGGCCCUCAAAGCAUUCCCAGCAUUAGCAAUGUGGAAGAGAAGUUACUUCUGCAGACAAAAAAGAAGCUCCACAAGGCUCAUUACUAUCCAUAUAUGUAUGUAUGUAUGUAUGUAAACAAUAUAGAAAGAUCUAAUGGGUCCUCUGCUCCCUCAGUCCCAUUUAUUUUCCAUGGCACAUGGUUUCGCAUAGAUGGUAUAAGUUCUUCAGUCAUGUUGACUCGGGACCCACUACUAAUUGCAAAGCAAACAGCAAAACUAGAAAGCAAACAAUUAAAAAAUGUUUUUUUUCUGUGCUGCUAAAAUUCAUACAUUUCCCAAGUUCCCAAAUUCCUUAGGCAAGGUCUGUAGGACUCAAAUUAGGGAACAAGGGCUUCUGGGAAAGGUUACCGUAAUGAUCAUUGCUGCUUCUCCUUUUCUGUGUAGUAAUCUCACACCUGACAAGUUAAGUCCAUGGAUGAUUAAAUUCAGUGUGAGCCUUUCAUCUGUAUAUUCAUGCAUCAUCUCUUUCCAGUAAUGCAUAACCCACCUGAAAUGCUGUGGAGAAGAAAUGUUGAGGUUGGCCUAGCUGAUGGAGUAGCAUGUUGGGAGACGGAGGAGGGGAGGUUAGAAAAACAAAGAACUCAUAACACAUGGACAGUUUCAUGUCCUACAGUUCAAUCAUACAUGGUUAGGAAAUUUACACACAUAAACUACUCUUCAAGGUAAGUGUAGGGUUUUCCUCCUAAUCCUCCCUUCAUUUUUUUUUUUUUUUUUGCUUUUUAGGGCCACACCCACAGCAUACGGAAGUUCCCAGGCCAGGGGUCCGAUCCGAGCCACACCCGCCAGCCUACGCCACAGCCACACAGGAUCUGCACUGCAUCUGUAACCUACACCACAGCUCAUGGCAACACCGGAUCCUUAACCCACAGAGUGAUGCCAGGGAUCGAACCUACAUCCUCAUGAGUCUCAGUUGGGUUCGUUAACCGCUGAGCUGUGAAGGGAACUUCCU